CAGUAGCCACGGGAAUGCGAAGGGGGGCUAGCGUUGUUCGGAUUUACUGGGCGUAAAGCGCACGUAGGCGGGCUUUUAAGUCAGAGGUGAAAUCCCAGGGCUCAACCCUGGAACUGCCUUUGAUACUGGAAGUCUUGAGUAUGGUGGAGGUGAGUGGAAUUGCGAGUGUAGAGGUGAAAUUCGUAGAUAUUCGCAGGAACACCAGUGGCGAAGGCGGCUCACUGGACCAUUACUGACGCUGAGGUGCGAAAGCGUGGGGAGCAAACAGGAUUAGAUACCCGGUAGUCCCUGUCUCUUAUAC
rnacentral:rRNA from 1 species